GACGAGCGCUGGCGGCGUGCUUAACACAUGCAAGUCGAACGGAAAGGCCCUGCUUGCAGGGUACUCGAGUGGCGAACGGGUGAGUAACACGUGGGUGAUCUGCCCUGCACUUCGGGAUAAGCUUGGGAAACUGGGUCUAAUACCGGAUAGGAGCCAUCUUUAGUGUGGUGGUUGGAAAGUUUUUUCGGUGUAGGAUGAGCUCGCGGCCUAUCAGCUUGUUGGUGGGGUAAUGGCCUACCAAGGCGGCGACGGGUAGCCGGCCUGAGAGGGUGUACGGCCACAUUGGGACUGUGAUACGGGCCAGACUCCUACGGGAGGGAGCAGUGGGGAAUAUUUGACAAAGGGCGCCAGCCUGAUGCAGGGACGCCGCGUGGGGGAUGAAGGCCUUCGGGUUGUAAACUCCUGUCGCCAGUGACGAAGCUUUUUUGUGACGGUACCUAGAGAAGAAGCACCGGCUAACUACGUG
rnacentral:rRNA from 1 species